rnacentral:sRNA from 1 species
AGUUAGCUCAGUUUUGGCUGUGGUGAUACCCAUAGCAGCAAAUACAGCCUAUAAAACAAUAAAUGACCAGUUACAGAUUUCUUUGUUCCUUCUCCACUCCCACUGCUUCACUUGACUAGCUUAAA